rnacentral:rRNA from 1 species
GACGAACGCUGGCGGCGUGCUUAACACAUGCAAGUCGAACGGAAAGGCCUCUUUCGGGGGGUACUCGAGUGGCGAACGGGUGAGUAACACGUGAGUAACCUGCCCUUGACUUUGGGAUAACUUCAGGAAACUGGGGCUAAUACCGGAUAGGAGCUCCUGCUGCAUGGUGGGGGUUGGAAAGUUUCGGCGGUUGGGGAUGGACUCGCGGCGUAUCAGCUUGUUGGUGGGGUAGUGGCUUACCAAGGCUUUGACGGGUAGCCGGCCUGAGAGGGUGACCGGCCACAUUGGGACUGAGAUGCGGCCCAGACUCCUACUGGAGGCAGCAGUGGGGAAUAUUGCACAAUGGGUGGAAGCCUGAUGCAGCAACGCCGUGGGCGGGAUGACGGCCUUCGGGUUGUAAACCGCUUUCGCUCAUGACGAAGCUUUGUGUGACGGUAGUGGGUAAAGAAGCACCGGCUAACUACGUG